rnacentral:rRNA from 1 species
UGUUAAUAGCAUACUCAUUUUGACGUUUAGCUGCAGAAGAAGCACCGGCUAACUCCGUGCCAGCAGCCGCGGUAAUACGGAGGGUGCGAGCGUUUAAUCGGAAUUACUGGGCGUAAAAGCGCAUGCAGGUGGUUUGUUAAGUCAGAUGUGAAAGCCCGGGGCUCAACCUCGGAAUUGCAUUUUGAAACUGGCAAACUAGAGUACUGUAGAGGGGGUAGGAAUUUCUAGGUGUAGCGGUGAAAAUGCGUAGAGAUCUGAAGGAAUACCGGUGGCGAAGGCGGCCCCCCUGGACAGAUACUGACACUCAGAUGCGAAAGCGUGGGGAGCAAACAGGAUUAGAUACCCUGGUAG